CUUGCUAUAACCAUAAUGAAUAGUUUUGGGCAUGUGUAACUCAUUUCCCACAUUCCCAAAGAGAUUUUUCAAGUUUAACUUCCUAGCUAUGUUUGUAUAUAACACCCUUCAAAUCUGUGUCUCUUCCCGUAAUCAACUCCCUGUGUUUUUUAACUGAGUUCUCCAAUAUUUUCAAAUUAAUUUGCAGGAUUUGAAAAUUGCCAUAUCUUUGUUACCCAUUACAAAAUAGUUCCAUUUUUCAUUUUUCAAAUUAAUGCAUGAAGAGAAACUGCUAUCUGGAUCUUCGUCUUCAGUCUUCGUCACCUUCCCAUCGUUCAAUGCAAGCAAUCUGGACUCUUUCUUUUCAAUAUUUGCCUUAUGACUCCCUUCAUUUGUAUAUCUCAGGAAUUAAGCAAGUGGAAUUCUUCUUACGUUAUUUGCUAAUUCUCCCUCCUUUUCUGCAAGAUUUUUUGCAGGAAUGGAACGUUGAACAUACACAAUAACCUUGUAGCUAUUCUUCAUAAUGGACGCCAAUGCAUUUUUGACACAACAGAACUUCAGGCAAGAAUGAUAAUAUGGUUAGCAAGUAAAGAAAUGGAGGAAAACACUACAGGCUUGCAUUCUGAAGCCCUAUUGAUACAUGUCUCGCGAGGCCUUUCCAUAAAGAAAUCACUUGAGAAUUUCCUCCAGAGGAGAAGAAAGAAAAGGUCUCUUGUAACCCAAAAUGACAUGACAAAAAUAUGAAUUAAUUAAAUCCUCGUUCCCUUCUGGGGGCAGGAAAAGUCUAGAUCUGCUGGUCAGAGUGGUCUGCUACAUUUCUUGAAUGAAGAAGGGCUGAUCGCCAACCCACCAUCACCACAGCUUUGUUAAUUGUUACUGAAACAUAUAUAAUAAUUCACAUUUGAGUGCUUUGUUAA